AGGGGUGUGCAUGUGUUUUUCCUUCACCAGAUCUUGGGAGGUCAGACCGAAUUUGGAUUCUCAGGUUCCUUCUGUUGGCUAUCUGCCCUGAGCAGGGGUGGUGUGUACCUUUCCUCCACCCUCCUUGUCACCAGAUGCUAGGGAAGGCAUGCUGGGGUCAGAUCCAAAGCAGGAAAAGGCACCCUUCAGCCCCUCUCUAGUCUCUGCACAUUUCUAUAUGGAACUGGGCCCUUUCUUCCCCUAAGCCCCACCUCUUAGCCCACCAGGAAGGAGAAAGGGAAACUGCCAUAAAUCCCCCUAUUUAUACAAGAAGACAGUGUGUUUCUCAUGCCAGAAAAAACACAGAAAGGGAGCUGUCAGGGAAGAAGGGACCCAGCCCCAGAUCUUGAGGGGUCAAUUUAUCAUCCCCAGUCAUGGCUUGGGGACUACUGCAACACUAGCUGUGGGAGAUGCAGGCUGGGAGUUUGGGGGCAGCCUGGAUAGCACUGCCUGGCCUUUGUUUCUGACCUCAGCCUUUCUGCUUCAUCUGAGAGGCCCCCUUCACCUGAUGCUCUUUUUCAAAACAACUUUCCUAAGGUGUAACUCACACGGAGCACAACCCUACUUGGAAUGGACCAUUCGUGGCUUUAGAAUCUUGAUGGACACGAGCAACUGUCGGCACAAUCUAUUUAAGAGUAUUCUGAGCCCUCAGAGAGCAGCCUUCUGCCCACAGGUGACCAAAUCCUUAUCCUCAAUAACCCUUCUAACUGAGCAGCCAACGAGCUGCCCUCUACCUAUUCAGGACAGCCUAGGAAUGGCUUCAUGCAGUAGGUGGCCUUCUGUGAUUGGCUCCUUUUCCUUGGUUCUUAUGCGUUGCUGUGUCAAAGCACGCAUCCAUUCUCCUUCCUUCUCAUGGAUGAGUUACUUCAACGGUAGACAGACCACCUUCCAGGUAUGUGUUCAUCAGUACAUGGGCAUUUAGGUUGUUCCCAUGUCCAGAAAUUAUGAUUUUCUAUGUCUCUAGACAGUUUGAAUCAUCUAGAGUGAGCUCUGCAGCCAGGAACAGGCCUGACUUAUGUGUGGGAACCUCCAGUGUCCAUGGAAGCCAGGCUUUUGCACCUGGUCCAGGUGCUUCUCCCCUGGUUACAUUGCUGAGGAUGGCCAUUGACCCAGCAGCUCUCUAUUUGUCCCCUUGCUGUCCUCAGACCCCUCUCCUGCAGCUUCAGAGUCUGAGUGGAGAAACAGGAAUACUUCCCCAAGAUUGGCCCCAUGUAAUCCUCUAUGUGUGCUACUGGUAAAUGGAAACCUUCGGGCCAAGGGAAAGUCAAGUUCUUGAGGGUGUGUCUGCUUCAGAGUCCAGGUCUCCUUCCCAUGUCCCACCUCACUUCUCUCAGUCUACUCUUUCUUCUGCUGACACCAGAAACUGCCCUACCUGCAUCAAUCCUAACAUACCAGUGGGACCAGCAGGAUGCAUACAAGAAGUCCAAAUAGUGCCAGGUUGCAUUUGUUGAAUGAGUGGAUGAGGGAUGAUUCCAUACUCUGGAAAUAAACUGUGGAGAAGGUCAGUUAUAAAUCUCUAUCUAUUACUACCCCUUUCCUAGUCUGGAAAUCAGCAUUUUCCUCACAAAGGUGGGUGAAGAAAGCACAAAAUGCUACCUCUAUAAUAGCUGCUAUUUAUUGGACCGGCAUUUAUAUGUCUGAUUGGUUUCAUAUCUCUCUCUCUCUCUCUCUCUCUCUCUCUCUCUCUCUCUCCCUCUCUCAGGCAAAGUUUCACAUAGCCCAGGCUGACCUGGAAUUUUCACAAUGUGACCGAGAAUAACCUUGAGCUUUUGAUCCUCCUGUUUCUAAUCCCAAGUGCUGGGAUCACAGGUGUGUGCGGAGACACUUGAUUUACUUGGUGCUGGGAAUAAAACCCAAGGCUUCUUGCACACU
rnacentral:lncRNA from 1 species